rnacentral:rRNA from 1 species
GACGAACGCUGGCGGCGUGCUUAACACAUGCAAGUCGAACGGAAAGGCCCUGCUUUUGUGGGGUGCUCGAGUGGCGAACGGGUGAGUAACACGUGAGUAACCUGCCCUUGACUUUGGGAUAACUUCAGGAAACUGGGGCUAAUACCGGAUAGGAGCUCCUGCUGCAUGGUGGGGGUUGGAAAGUUUCGGCGGUUGGGGAUGGACUCGCGGCUUAUCAGCUUGUUGGUGGGGUAGUGGCUUACCAAGGCUUUGACGGGUAGCCGGCCUGGGAGGGUGACCGGCCACAUUGGGACUGAGGUAAGGCCCAGACUCCUACGGGAGGCAGCAGUGGGGAAUAUUGCACAAUGGGCGGAAGCCUGAUGCAGCAACGCCGCGUGCGGGAUGACGGCCUUCGGGUUGUAAACCGCUUUCGCCUGUGACGAAGCGUGAGUGACGGUAAUGGGUAAAGAAGCACCGGCUAACUACGUG